CAGCAAUCCGAGCUCAAGUAAGGUUACCCGCUGAAUUUAAGCAUAUAAUUAAGCGGAGGAAAAGAAACCAACAGGGAUUCCCUUAGUAGCGGCGAGCGAAGUGGGAUCAGCCCAAGAUGUGAAUCCAAGUAAUCUAUUACUUGGAGUUGUGCAUCCUGUUCAUUACCAGACUUCGUUUUUGCCAUAAACGGUUGGAAAACAUGCCACAGAAGGUGAUAGCCCUGUCUUUGGUAAAUAACGAUGUCGUACGGUAAUGUUCAAAUGAGUCACGCUCUUUGGGAGUAGAGCGCAAAUAAGGUGGUAACCUCCAUCUAAGGCUAAAUAUUGACAAGAGAUCGAUAGUAAACAAGUACGGUGAGGGAAAGUUGAAAAGCACUUCGAAAGGAGAGUUAAAAGACCUGAAAUCGUUAAGGGGGAAGCGACUGUCCGUGACCCGUGCUGGUAUUGCGAAGUACUACUGAUAGGUGUAUACGACGUGACAGUUGUAGAAAACUAUUGUACUAGUAUUGAGCAAUGCUAAUGCACUCGACAGCAUUUGAAAGUUAGUAAAUUCCUGACUCUGGCUCGCCAGAAGAUGGUUCUUUUUCUGACUGUUGAAUGUAAUUCCAUAGAAUUCUCGUUAAGGGCACGUAUAGACGACCCGUCUUGAAACACGGACCAAGGAGUUAAACAGGUGUGCAAGUGUAAGAGUGUUAAACUCAUACGCGUAGUGAAAGCAAAAGCUGUGAAUAUCAAUUGCAACAGCGGCCGACCGUGAAGUUCGAGCUUGAGCAUAUUUGUUUAGACCCGAAAGAUGGUGACCUAUACCUGGAUUGGAUGAAGCCAGGAGAAAUUCUGGUGGAGGUCCGUAGCGAUACUGACGUGCAAAUCGUUCGUCAAAUCUGGGCAUAGGGGCGAAAGACUAAUCGAACCAUCUAGUAGCUGGUUCCCUCCGAAGUUUCCCUCAGGAUAGCUGGCGCUCGAUAGCAUAAAUGUGUAUGAGUUUCAUACGGUAAAGCGAAUGAUUAGAGGCAUUGGGGUCGAAACGGCCUCAACCUAUUCUCAAACUNAGUUCGAAUCAGUUGAACUCGGUAAAGCGAAUGAUUAGAGGAAUCGGGGGCAUUGUGCCUUCGACCUAUUCUCAAACUUUAAAUGGGUUUGUGAAAAUAGUUAAUUAAGUUAACUUUUUUCGUAAAUGAUACUUCUUAGUGGGCCAGUUUUGGUAAGCAGAACUGGCGAUGAGGGAUGCUCCUAACGUGUGGUUAAGGCGCUAAACACUCGCUGAUCAGAUACCAUAAAAGGUGUUGGUUCAUUGAAACAGCAGGGCGGUGGUCAUGGAAGUCGAAAUCCGCUAAGGAGUGUGUAAUAACUCACCUGCCGAAUGAACCAGCCCUGAAAAUGGAUAGCGCUCAAGCGGGUGGCCGAUACCAAACCGUCAUACGAAUUAAGCGUUUGACGUGUAGGAGGGCGUAGGGGUUUGCUGAGAAGGUUCAGACGUGAGUCUAACUGGAGCAGCUUCUAGUGCAGAUCUUGGUGGUAGUAGCAAUUAAUCAAAUGAAACCUUUGAUGGCCGAAGUGGAUAAGGGUUCCGAGGGAACAGCGAUUGUCCUCGGGUUAGUCGGUCCUAAAGGAAAAGCUUGCGACUUCAGAGUGAGAUUUCAUCUCUUCUCCUGAAAGGGAAAAAGGCUGAAAUUCCUUUACUGUUUGGAGGACUUGUGGUAACACAAUUGAACUUGGGCCACCAGGCAAGACCCUGGGGAGCGUUAUCUUUGCUCUUUGACAACACCACUCCUUCGAAUCGGCUUGUCCGGAGAAAAGGAUGAAACGUUGGUAAAGUACUAUGCUCACGCGCAGUAUCCGGUGCGUCUUGAAUGGUCUGUGAAACCCCAGGGGAUAAAUAGUCCAUCAUACAGCCGUACCCUAAACCGCAUCAGGUCUCCUAGGUUUGCAGCCUCUGGUCGAUAGAAUAAGGCGGAUGAGGGAAGUCGGCAAAAUAGAUCUGUACCUUUGGAAAAAGGAUUGGCUCUGAGGGCCGAGUGGAAAAGGCUCUUGCGCUCCGAUGCAACGUUGGCGUCCACUGAGAGUCUUACUCUUCACUGGUCGCUGAUAAUGUAUUCAUUCGCUUGGGUGGACUUCGGUCAUCUUACCACAAUAACCGGCUAACUCAGAACUGGUACGGACAAGAGGAAUCUGACUGUUUAAUUAAAACAAAGCAUUGCGAUAAGCGGAAAUGCUUUUCACGCAAUGUGAUUUCUGCCCAGUGCUCUGAAUGUCAUUGCGAUGAGAUUCGCCUAAGCGCGGGUAAACGGCGGGAGUAACUAUGACUCUCUUAAGGUAGCCAAAUGCCUCGUCAUCUAAUUAGUGACGCGCAUGAAUGGAUCAACGAGAUUCCUACUGUCCCCAUCCGCCAUCUAGCGAAACCACAGCCAAGGGAACGGGCUUGGCAAAAUAAGCGGGGAAAGAAGACCCUGUUGAGCUUGACUCUAGUCUGAUUUUGUGGAGUGACUUGGGGAGCGUAGAAUAGGUGGGAGCUCCGGCGACAGUGAAAUACCACUCUCUCCAAUGUUGCUCUACUUACUCUGUUAACAAGAAACAUACGAAAGUGUGUUUUUGAAUUAAUGCAUAACUGCUGAUCUUGUCAGAGGACAUAUUCAGAUGGGGAGUUUGGCUGGGGCGGCACAUCUGCUAAACAACAACGCAGAUGCCCUAAGGUUGACUCAGAGAGAACAGAAAUCUCUCGUAGACUGAAAGGGGAAAAGUCAGCUUGAUUCUGAUUUUCAGUGCGAAUACGAACUGCGAAAGCAUGGCCUAUCGAUCCUUUAAGUCCUGAAAGGUUCAGGCUAGAGGUGACAGAAAAGUUACCACAGGGAUAACUGGCUUGUGGCAGCCAAGCGUUCAUAGCGACGUUGCUUUUUGAUCCUUCGAUGUCGGCUCUUCCUAUCAUUGAGACGCAGAAGUCUCAAAAUGUCGGAUUGUUCACCCGCUAAUAGGGAACGUGAGCUGGGUUUAGACCGUCGUGAGACAGGUUAGUUUUACCCUACUUAUUAUAUUACAUUGUGACAGUAAACCAAUUUAGUACGAGAGGAACCGUUGGUUCAAGCCGCUGGUAACGCGGUUGGUCGAAAGACCAGUGCCGCAAAGCUACGCUUGUAGGAUAAUGACUGAACGCCUCUAAGUCAGAAUCCUAGCUGAAAAACAAUGCUUCAACACUCUCGGUGGCCUAGUCACUUAAUACAGCGUACUUCGAUUGAGUAUAAUAUGUCCACUGACUAAAGGUAGACAUUGAUUAAAUUUAGAUUACAGAGAGUUCUACAUACCUAAAAGACGAUUAGGAUGCAUAAGGGUGCUGUAAGCUAGAGAGUGAGCUUUGUCUCACGAUCUGCUGAGGCUGACCUCUAUGCGUUAU
rnacentral:rRNA from 1 species